rnacentral:rRNA from 1 species
UUGGAGGGCAAGUCUGGUGCCAGCAGCCGCGGUAAUUCCAGCUCCAAUAGCGUAUAUUAAAGUUGUUGCAGUUAAAAAGCUCGUAGUUGAAUUUCGGGAUCAAUGUUUCGGUCAUGCCGUUGGUAUGUACUGAUAUUAUCGAUUUCUCACCUUCUAAAGAACCGUAAUGCCAUUAAUUUGGUGUCACGGGGAAUUAGGACUGUUACCUUGAAAAAAUUAGAGUGUUUAAAGCAGGCUCACGCUUGAAUACAUUAGCAUGGAAUAAUGAAAUAGGACAUCCGAUUCUAUUUUGUUGGUUUCUAGGAUCGAUGUAAUGAUUAAUAGGGAUAGUUGGGGGCAUUAGUAUUCAAUUGUCAGAGGUGAAAUUCUUGAAUUUAUUGAAGACUAACUACUGCGAAAGCAUUUGCCAAGGAUGUUUUCAUUAAUCAAGAACGAAAGUUAGGGGAUCGAAGACGAUCAGAUACCGUCGUAGUCUUAACCAUAAACUAUGCCGACUAGGGAUCGGAUGAUGUUAAUUUUUUAAUGACUCAUUCGGCGCCUUACGGGAAAC